rnacentral:rRNA from 1 species
UACGUAUGGUGCAAGCGUUAUCCGGAUUUACUGGGCGUAAAGGGAGCGCAGGCGGCGCACCAAGCCUGAUGUGAAACCCCGGGGCUCAACCCCGGGCAUGCAUUGGAAACUGGCGGGCUGGAGUGCCGGAGAGGUAAGCGGAAUUCCUAGUGUAGCGGUGAAAUGCGUAGAUAUUAGGAGGAACACCAGUGGCGAAGGCGGCUUACUGGACGGCAACUGACGCUGGGGCUCGAAAGCGUGGGGAGCAAACAGG